rnacentral:lncRNA from 1 species
GGAAGUCUUUCCUGCCAGGAGAUGUUCAUUGAAGUGCAGACUGCUCGGAGCCACACCGCAGGCUGGCAGAGGAAGUGUCUCGGUGUUGCCUUGGCCCGUUCACCCCCUGCCAGGCCAGUAGAGGAGCUGAAGAGUCUUCGCCAUGGUUUGAGAAAAAGCUUAUAGAGGCCUGAGGCUGGAGGCAGGGGGAUCAGUGAGGAGGCUGCAGCAUCAGUCCAGUUUUACCAGGUAUACUUGUUUCACCGGGGAAUAGGUCUGUAGAACUCACACUGCCAUCCAGGAAGUGAAACUCCCCGGUACAGGCAUACCAUGGACAUAUUUCGGGUUCAGCUCCAGACCACCACAGUGAAGUGAAUAUUGCAACUAAGCAAGUCACGCAUGUUUUUUCUUUGUUUCUCAGUGAAUAUAAGCAUCUCCAAGCCUCUCUCCAAGUUCGCUCCAGGGCUUGCGAGAAACAAAGUGCUCUCCCUCAGCCCCAGCUCCUCGCACACCCAGUGGAAAGAAAACACUUGCUGUAAUUGGAAAGCCCCGAGAAGGUUGAGAGCACUUUUGUUUUCUUCAUCUCUGCGUCCUUAUUUCUUGGAACACUACCUGGCAAACCAUGGGUGCACCAUGCAGCAAGUUAAGGUCGCCGAAGUAGAAUUGCGUAUUAAGCCAGUGUCUCCAUCCAGACUUUUUUUUAGCAAGCAUACCUUAGGAAACUGAACUUCGCUUGAAACUGAAACUACCCUCCCAAAAUCAUCUCCAAGGGUUAUUUACAGACUAAAUGAGACAGUGUAUAUCUAACAUUGCUUUGUGGAUGCUAUCAAGUGCUGGCAAAUGUGUGGGAGAAUGAAUGGAAAACUUCAUCAAUUUCUAGGAUAGUAAAUUGGUGCUGCUAUUUUGGAGAGCAAUUUGUCAGCCUUCAGGGGAAACUGAAUAUGCACAUCCUCUAAGACCCAGCAGUUUCACUUCAAAGAAAAUUUCUUAUAUGCACAGAGACUUGUACAAGGAUAUUUAUCACAGCACUGUUUGUAAUAACAAAGGGCUGGAAAUAAACCAAAUGGCCAAUGAUAAGAAUUGAUAAAUGUGGUAAAUGCCUAAAAUAGAAUGUCACACAGCAGUUAAAAAAUCAUUUAUUCACUAAUUAAGCAAAGGACAAAAAGCCUCAACAGAAAAAAAAAGACAAAAGCCUUGAAUAGUCACUUUGCCAAAUGUUCAAUACACGUACAAAAACAUGGGCAAGUUCAUUGGUUGUCAAGGAAGUUCGAAUUAAAGCCACAUUUUGCAGGUACAACACUGGCACAAGUUUAAGUCUGAUGAUACCAAGUCUUGGAGAAGGUUGAAGCUACUGGAAAACCUGCCCUCUGCUGGUGGGAGUGCAAAUUGCUCCAAGCUCUUUGGACAAUAAUUUGGCAUCCUCUAGUGAAGUUGAAGAUGUGUGUGCUUGAGACUCAGCAAUUCCCCUUUGUGACAUCAGGAUGCUCCCGCACAUAUGCUUAAGAACAUUCAUGCCAGCUUUGUUUAUAUAACAAAAACGUGGAAAUAACCCAAAUGUCUGAGGAUGGGGAAUGGACAAAUAAUGGUUCAUAGUUAUGAAAAUGAAUACACAACAGCUACAAGCAUCUACUGGAAUGAAUCUCACAUGCAUUGUGUUGUAGAAGAAUAUGUAUAAUUCCAUUUAUGUAAAGUUUAAAAGCAUGCACAACUAAAUGAUAUGUUAUUUAUGAGUAUAUGACAUAUAUGAUAAAGGCAAAGAAUAAAUAAAGUAAGGAAAGGUAAGACAA